UAUGUCCACAUCACGUUGAAAUACCGGUACCCGUACGAUCAACGAAGUUAAGCAAUGUCGUGCCCAGUCAGUACCUAGAUGGUUGAGCGCUUGGAAAUACCCAGUGUG